AUAAAAAGAUCACUCAAUUUGGACACUCCAUGUGGAAGUUAUGUCACUUUGAUUAUGGGUCAUUUUUGAAAUUGAAUGGACCAUAACUUGCCAACCAUACAUAGGAAUUUCAAGUUCUUGGACUUUUUGGAAAGGUGAGAACAAGAUCUACAACUUUCAUGUUGAACAAAUUUUCAUUUGAAGCUUCCUUGGACAUGUAAUUU
rnacentral:lncRNA from 1 species